GCCAUGCUUGUGUCCAUAACAAAUCGUGUAUGCUAGAUUGAUUCUUAUUUUACUUGGGUUUAAUAUCAGGUGGUUAUAACAAAUCUGGAACCUGGCUUAGUGAUGGAUCUUGAUGCAAAGAAAUGGCCUGAUGCACAAACAGAUGAUACUUCGUCUUUCUACAAGGGGCUGGAAGCAGCAAGCCAGGAAUGGCCAUUCCCGCUCUCUUGAGGAAAAGACAGAGAAGACUUGGAGGAAGUCGAAGGUGAACGAUGUUCGGCCUUCCAUGUUGGUGAAGCAAGCCUUUCUUUGAUUCUAAUUAUUAUCCAUAUUUUAUAUAUACUACUGAUAUUAUGAUGAAUUGCCAUGUAGUUUAGUUCUUAAUGUAGUUUCUUGCUCUAGUAAUUUGAGUUAUUUAUCUGAAA